rnacentral:rRNA from 1 species
UACAGAGGUCUCAAGCGUUUGUUCGGAUUCAUUGGGCGUAAAGGGUGCGUAGGCGGCGCGGUAAGUCGGGUGUGAAAUCUCGGAGCUUAACUCCGAAACUGCAUUCGAUACUGCCGUGCUUGAGGACUGGAGAGGAGACGUGGAAAUUUACGGUGUAGCGGUGAAAUGCGUAGAUAUCGUAAGGAAGACCAGUGGCGAAGGCGGGUCUCUGGAC